UGAAAAGCUCGCUUGUUCUUCUGUGAUGAGCACCCGAUUGAGAAGUUUUUGAGGACAAACCCAGGCUUGGGUUGGCAUGAUUUUACUCCGCAAUCACUGACCCUCCCUUAUUUUCCUAGCCAUGCCAAGCUUGUUGACUUAGAAAAAGCAUUAGUUACAAGCUGCUGUUGUUGUUGUUGUGAUUCAAAUACCCAUUACACUUGGUUUUGCGAUUCUGCAGGAGAACGGACAAUUCUUCGGAGACGCCACGUAAGGCAAUGAGGGCUGCUGGGUCACCAUGUCUACAACACGUCAUCAGACGUUUCAAAUACAGGUGGGUGGAUGGAGACGAGGGCAAAAGGUCAGCAGUUGUUGCAUCUGGAUGGAGGCUUCACAAGUGGUUGUAUGUAUGUUCUUUCCGUUGUUCUCUAUGUUUGGAAAUUGUCGAGUAAAAAGGUGGGGAAAAUACUAUCUGGGUAAGGUAAGAGGAACAGCUGUCCUCUCGUGGCUGGCAGUUUUGGGCUCUAGCCGAGGACUUCCCUUCUUGUGCCUCAAGGUGCAGUGUUUCCCCUAUACCUCGGGGCUCUUUAAAACUUGGGCAUAGUGGCUGUUCACGACAGGUUUCCAUUUUCUGCUGUCUGCCCUGGGGCCACCUCUGUGCCUCUCACUGGCUUCAUCCUCGGCCGGUUGGACCUUCUGAGGAGCUACCAGACCCUGCCCUGGCUGCCAUGGCAACGGAGGAGCAGCCCCUGGAGGAACAUGAAAGAGAAUGGAGAGCCUCUUAUUUUUAAGAUUCCUAGACAUCCGUGGGCUCUGGCAGCGUGGCCAGAGGCAGGUCAGAACAUUCCCCGGGCCAGCAAGCUGUGACCGCCACGGGGCAAACCCAACUGGGACGGAGGCCUGGGCAGGCACCUUCCUGGGGUAUUGGGGCAGGAGCAAGCAGAAAGCCCUAUCUUCACCCACUGCACCCCGUGCCAGCCUCCUUGCUGACCUUGCCUGAAGGUCCCUCCAUCAGUCACCGCAAGCAAAGAGCGGGUGCUGACAUUAAGCCUUGGAGGUUGUUUGAAAAGCUAAUCUUGCCUUAGAAGGCGCCGGGGCUGGUGUGAGAGGAGUCCUUGGACACCCGCAGACAGAAGAUCAUCUAGGGACACGGGAGAAGAUGGCCAGCUACAAGCCAAGGAGAGAGGCUUCUGAAGCAACCAACCCUGCAGACAUGAUCUUGAACUUGUAAACCUCCAGGACACAAAUUUCAGUUGUUCCAGCCUCCCAGUCUGUGAUGCCUGUCAUGGUGGCCUUAGCCCACUAACACAGUCCCUGUCCCCGGAAUGUCCUGUCUGGUGCCCCAUCUUCUCAUCUCUCUCCACUCUGGGGUCUUCCCUCCCGGGCCACCAGCCCCGGCUUUCACAGUCUCUGAGACAGUUGCGAAUGCAAGCCUGGUCAGGACGUUUCUUGAACUGCGGGUGUGCUGGAACCUUCUGGGGAAUGGAGCACAAUGAGCAUGAGCAGGGGGGCUCCGGAGCGCUUCCUGAGAAGUUCUCUGCAGCUGAACACAGUCCUCACUGAGACACAGCUCUUCCUAUGCAAAGUCUGGUAGCUCCCUCUGAAAUCUCAGCACCUACCCCAGCCCCAGAGCAGCCUGGCCCAUGGAUGGUUGGGCCUCUUCCCUGACCCCACCGCACGGAGGUGAUGGCCCGAAGGUAUGGGAUCGCAGGUUUAGAGAAGGUGAGUGACUUGCCUUGUAUCGCACAGCUAACAAGGAACAGAGUCAAGGGCCAAAGUCAGAUCUUUUGUCGCAGGGGCACCUUUUCUUCUCUGAUACUAGAGCUGUGGGUGUGGGGGGCUGGCGAGCAGAGAUGAGGGGGUUCACAGCCCAAUGAAUCUGCUAUGAUUUCCUAGGAAUAACAGAUCAAAUCCUCACUGAAGGUUUUGUCAAAUGUUGCCUGAACAAGGCCUACCUUGACUGUUCAAAAUUUCAACCCUUAUUUCCGGAGUCCUCUCACCUUGCUCUCUCUUUUUUUAAAAUUUCAUAGAAUUGAUCACCUUCCAGGACACCAUACGGUUUACUUACGUUGUGUUGGCUGUGUGAUGUCUAUGCCUUUCUCCCCACCCCCAGGACGAAGCCCCACACAGAUAAGAGUCUGGGUCUGCUUUGUUCUUUAAUGCCUUUCUAAAAGCCUGGAAGCAUUUCUGGCAUAGAGAAAGCAUUUGCUGACUGGAAUUAAUAGCUAUGUGUCCUAAGCACCAGCUGUUCUGGGCUGACUUGUGUCCCCCCCAGUUUGCAUGUUGAAGUCCUAACCCCAGGACCUCCGAAUGUGAACCGUAUUUUGAUAUGGGUCUUUGGAGAGGUAGUUAAGUUAAAAGGAGGUCAGUAGUGUGGGCCCGGAUCCAAUAUGACUGGUGUCCUCGUAAGAAGAACUGAUUAGGGACCCAGAAUGCAGAGAAGGAAGACGAUGUGAAGACACAACAGGAAGAUGCCCAACCACGAGCCCAGGAGAGAAGCCUUAGAAGAAACCAUCCGUGCUGACAUCCUGAUCUCGGACUCCCAGCCUCAGAAUCAUGAGACAUAAAUCUCUGUAGUUUAGGCCACCCACCACGUCCGUGGUCCUUUGCUAUGGUGGCCCUAGCACACAGAUACAGCAGCCAUACCUGACACAGUUUGGAGGGGUUUGUACGUGUUGUCUCAUUUGAUCUUAACCACGAUCUGAAGAGAUAGUACCUACUUUGCAGACGCAGAAACUAAGGCCAGGAAAUGUUGAUGCGGGGGCCUGAGGAGGCCUACGUGUUGGGGUGCUGGGCCUCAUGGGGCUGGGGUGGGGGAGCCCGGGUUGCUGACCCAACAAGGGCCCCUCCUUAUCUGGAGUUCUGUGGGCAAUCAGGCCAGUCGUCCCUCUGCCCCACUCCCAAACACACCUCGAAACAGGCCCGUGCUAGCCCCUCACACCCCAACCUGCUCUACAGGUUUUUUUUAAUAUUUACUUUUUUAAAAUAAUUUUUUAAUUUUUUUAAUAUUUAUUUUUUU